rnacentral:rRNA from 1 species
GACGAACGCUGGCGGCGUGCCUAAUACAUGCAAGUAGAACGCUGAAGGAGGAGCUUGCUUCUCUGGAUGAGUUGCGAACGGGUGAGUAACGCGUAGGUAACCUGCCUGGUAGCGGGGGAUAACUAUUGGAAACGAUAGCUAAUACCGCAUAAGAGUAGAUGUCGCAUGACAUUUGCUUAAAAGGUGCAAUUGCAUCACUACCAGAUGGACCUGCGUUGUAUUAGCUAGUUGGUGAGGUAACGGCUCACCAAGGCGACGAUACAUAGCCGACCUGAGAGGGUGAUCGGCCACACUGGGACUGAGACACGGCCCAGACUCCUACGGGAGGCAGCAGUAGGGAAUCUUCGGCAAUGGGGGGAACCCUGACCGAGCAACGCCGCGUGAGUGAAAGAAAGGGUUUUUCGGGAUCGUAAAAGCUUCUGUUGUAAAG